UAACGCAGCGGCACCGCAAGGUGACAGUUGUUAAAGGAGCAAUCCGCUUGAAGAGGAGCUUGCGGCAGAUUAGCUAGUUGGUAAGGUAAUGGCUUACCAAGGCUACGAUCUGUAUCCGGUCUAAGAGGACGGUCGGACACACUGACACUGAACAACGGGUCAGACUCCUACGGGAGGCAGCAGUCGGGAAUUUUGGGCAAUGGGCGAAAGCCUGACCCAGCAACGCCGCGUGAAGGAUGAAGUAUUUCGGUAUGUAAACUUCGAAAGAAUGGGAAGAAUAAAUGACGGUACCAUUUAUAAGCUCCGGCUAACUACGUGCCAGCAGCCGCGGUAAUACGUAGGGAGCAAGCGUUGUUCGGAUUUACUGGGCGUAAAGGGCGCGUAGGCGGCGUGUCAAGUCAAUUGUGAAAUCUCCGGGCUUAACUCGGAACGGUCAAUUGAUACUGUCAUGCUAGAGUGCAGAAAGGGCAAUCGGAAUUCUUGGUGUAGCGGUGAAAUGCGUAGAUAUCAAGAGGAACACCUGAGGCGAAGGCGGGUUGCUAGGCUGACACUGACGCUGAUGCGCGAAAGCCAGGGGAGCAAACGGGAUUAGAUACCCCGGUAGUCCUGGCCCUAAACGAUGAAUACUUGGUGUCUGGAGUUAUUAUCGCUCCGGGUGCCGUCGCUAACGUUUUAAGUAUUCCGCCUGGGGAGUACGCACGCAAGUGUGAAACUCAAAGGAAUUGACGGGGACCCGCACAAGCGGUGGAGCAUGUGGUUUAAUUCGACGCAACGCGAAGAACCUUACCUAGGCUAGAAUGUGAGGGAAGGGCGUCUAACAGCGUCCGUCCAAUCGGACCCAAAAAUGCUGCAUGGUGUCGCAGCUCGCGAGAUGUUGGGUCCCGCAACGCACCCAUCUCAUGAGACGCAAACGAGAAAUCAUCAUUGCC
rnacentral:rRNA from 1 species